rnacentral:rRNA from 1 species
GACGAACGCUGGCGGCGUGCUUAACACAUGCAAGUCGAACGGAAAGGCCCUGCUUUUGUGGGGUGCUCGCGUGGCGAACGGGUGAGUAACCCGUGAGUAACCUGCCCUUGACUUUGUGAUAACUUCAGGCAACUGGGGCUAAUACCGGAUAGGUGCUCCUGCUGCAUGGUGGGGGUUGGAAAGUUUCGGCGGUUGGGGGUGGACUCGCGGCUUAUCAGCUUGUUGGUGGGGUAGUGGCUUACCAAGGCUUUGACGGGUAGCCGGCCUGAGAGGGUGACCGGCCACAUUGGGACUGAGAUACGGCCCAGACUCCUACGGGAGGCAGCAGGGGGGAAUAUUGCACAAUGGGCGGAAGCCUGAUGCAGCAACGCCGCGUGCGGGAUGACGGCCUUCGGGUUGUAAACCGCUUUCGCCUGUGACGAAGCGUGAGUGACGGUAAUGGGUAAAGAAGCACCGGCUAACUACGUG